AUUUUAACCGCUUUUACGUCAGUUAUCAGCAGUUUUAUGUUCUCCCCUUUUUCCUCCCACGUCCCAGGUAACCUCCAUCCUCAAUUUUAUGGUCUCCUCUUUUUACUCCCUACGUCACAGAUCCACCUAUAGAUGAACAAAUGGAUGUUUCUAUGAAUCAAACUCUCAAAAAGAUUGAUAGCUUUACUCAGCAGGUAAUCAUAUCCAUGUAAUCACAACCCGAUGACAUUGAGGAGAUUCUCUAUGGUUGCAAGAGUUCGAGACGUGAUUUCAUCCACAGGUACGUUUUCAAAAACAUACGAUUAAAGUCUCUGAAUCUUCAUCUCUCUCUCUCUCCCUUUAUUCUAAAUCACUCGUCUGAAUUUCAUCCACACAUAGGUGUUAUCGAUCAAUUUUGUGUUUAUCUGCAUGUCUAGGAUGUUUAGGGUCGAAACACUGUCAAUUCUGCAUUUUUUUGGCAAUUCUUGCAGAUGAUUCUGUAACAAUAGCCUUAUAUUAUGGGUUCAAGAAGCAAAUCCACGACGAUGUCUAAAAAGGUAAAGGAAAUUGGGAUAAUUCAAGACCCACUCUGCAAAAGAUACCCUACCAUCGCUACAUAAUGGAAGAAGAACACGAGAUUGGUAUUUGGGGGAUUCUAAUUUCUGGUCUAAUUAGAGCUACUACCACUACUCUUACUGUAUGUAUUUGUUUUAUUUGCGUUGUUAAUCAAACAAUGUCUUUCUCUUACUUGCUCCUAGGUUCUUUUUUCCAUCACUAAUUGUUUGAUUCGUUUUAGGUCAUGUAUACAAGUUUAUUUGAGUGAGUCUGCACAAUAUAUGUGUGUUUAUGCGUACUAAUUACAUCUAUUCAUGGUUUAGAUGUGUAUCAAGCACAAAUACAGUUACAAUUUUGCCCCUUCCACUGAUUUGGUUAAAGAAAUGCAGAUGUUUUCAAGGCAUUGAUUCUCUCUGUGGCAACAUGUUUAAAUAAUGCAUCAGGUCCUCGAAAGGAACACUUAGUGGUUCAGGUGCUGGGCUCAUAGUGUUGUCUUCACAAUUGGCCAGAUAAGAAGUGAUUUUUUCAGCUCUGCACACUUGAAUUUGAGACACGGCGUGCUUCAUAUUACUGGUUACUAGAUGCACUGGGUCUUUACCAGCCUUACGUAUGGGAGUAUUCACGUUUGAAUAUAACCAACACUGCGAUGUCAAAAGUUGAACCGACUAGUGAUCGAGAACUAUGUGGAUGGAUGGGAUGAUCCACGUUUGAUGACACUAGCGGGAUUGAGGCGUAGGGGUGUCACUUCUACAGCAAUAAAUGCUUUUGUUAGAGGAAUUGGGAUUACCAAAAGUGAUAGUAGUAUGAUACGUUUGGAGCGCCUUGAAUAUCAUGUACGGGAAGAACUUAAUAAAACAGCUUCUCUUGCGAUGGUUGUGCUACAUCCACUAAAGGUAGUUAUUACCAAUCUUGAACCAAGUUCAAUAAUAGAUCUUGAUGCAAAGAAAUGGCCAGAUGCCCCUGUUGAUGAUGCAUCUUCAUACUACAAGGUAGACUUCUCACUCUCUCUCUCUAUGUAUUGGUAUUAUGAUGGUGUAUUGCAAAAAUGGGUAGGUUGGGUAACAGGUCAGGUACGUUGGGGGUCGUACUAAAUGGCACCAACGGGUCAACUUCAUAAAACGGGUCAAGCAGGUAAGCUUUUUUAAAUAGGUAGAACAGUCAUUUUCUUUUUAACGGGUCGAAUGAGUUCAUUUUACCAAAGGGUGAAACAAGAUAGAUUUCUUACUUGGGUAACGCGGUUAAAACGAGUUUUCUUUUAAGUAUAGGUCAAAGCAGGUCAAGUAAGUUGGUCGAAACGGGUCAGGUAGGUUGGUUCCAUACUAAAUGGGAGGUGGUUCCGACCUUGCUUACUUCAAACUUUUAGAAAUCAAGUUCUUUUUUUAAUAUGUUUUACAUAAACAAUUCUUUGCACAUAUGUCUGAUGACAUGGGAGGUGGUUCCGACCUUGCUUAUUUCAGCUUCACUGUCAUAGGAGGUGUUGCUAAUGACAAUCGUGUAGCUUUUAACUUUUCUUCAUCUUCACAUGAAAGACACAGGGGGAGGAAGGUGAUCCUGCUUCUAAGCAACUUCAUAGUUGUGAUUGUGAGUCAGUUGGGUCUAAUGUGUGUGUAGUUUGCGGGGUGUGGGGGACUUGGGUUGACAUGUGGCGGAGGUGGGCUCCACAUUGUGUGGCUUGGCUGGGCGUGGCUUUUUUUUUGGGUGUGGGGUGGCCUGGCGUGGCUUUUUUUGGGUCAAAUAUGCCCAGCCAGUCCUAGCCAUCCACGUCAUCUCCUCCCCUGCCCCACGUCGGGCUUCAUAGCCACGCCAGCGGGCAACACCGCAACCCACGCUGACCCGACGUGGCUGAACCGACGUUGCUUGGCUUCCCCGCCCCAACCCACGCCCCACGGUCUAAGUAGUGGUCAUUUAGUUUUUUGUUAGUUUUUGGCGAAAGUCAGUUUUACUUUUAUCCGCCGACAUUUUAAGGCUAAUGGUGAAUAUUAUAUUCUAUUUUGUUUAUUGGCCGUCUGAAUGAAUAUAACAAAACCGUCUACACACUUGUGACGUUCGUUUUCCUUUUAUAAAAAGAAUGGUGUUUUUCUUUG